UACUUGUGUUUUGUCUCCGUCUGUGUGUGAUCCUUCAAAUAUAUCUCUGAUCGGAGCAGUCUGCCCCCACCACUCUCAUAAUUCGCAUUUGCUUCGGAACUCCUCCCUCUCUCCCUCUCUCGUUCAGCAAAGCCAUUGCUCGAAACUGACACACAAAUAAAGACAGUGAUCGAGGGAGGAGGGAGGAGGGAGACAUUGAUACUUUCAUUGAGGAUAGAGAAAAAACUUCUCCACCUACUCCAUAACCCCACCAUGUUUGAUGUCCAAGUGCUGCAACUUUAACACUUCACCAUUUCACGCCAUUUCUCUUUCUGGGUUUCACGAAUGUCAGCUCCCGAGGCAACCCACCACCGCCGUUCGGCCACCGGAGGCAGCGGCACGUCGGUCUCGGAUGACUCCGACGACAACCAGUCCUGGCGCUCGAUGUCUGACUCCGGCAAUGUCCGGAGGAAGUCUUGUGAGUCAGAUUGUUCAGUGGAGGAGGUGGAUUUGGAGAGUGGGCUUUUGGAGGUGAAGAAGGUGGUGCAUUUGAGUAAAGUUGAGAGAAAUUGCAGGAUUUGCCACCUGGGUUUGGAGGGAGGUAGUGGGACCGACCCUGCCUCUGGGGUCCCGAUUGACCUGGGGUGUUCUUGCAAGGGGGAUUAGCGUGCUGCUCAUAAGCAAUGCGCUGAGACUUGGUCCAAGAUCAAGGGAGACACGUGAGUACAAAAUUUUUCUGAGUUUAAUAUUCAUUAUUUUCUUUGGUUUUUGGUGUUUCUGCUUGAAAUUAUGAACACCCAUUUGCUGGAUUGUGAAUGUUUGUUCUGCUUGAGUGUUUAAUGAUGGUCCGAAAACUUUAGGAUUAUAUUUUGUUCUGUUUCUGCAUUGAAGUGCAAGCACAUGGAUGUAAUUGGUUCCCGGAGUCAGCUCUCUCACUUUUGAUGUGGUUUACUUCAAACUAUGAACUUACUAUGGGCAUGUUACAACAGAUACCAUCUUGGUGGUGUUUAGGUUCCUGCUUCCGAGAGUUCAGCUUAUUCGAAUGAUUACUUGCUAAUUAGCUUCUUUCUUUUCAUGUAAUUGUCACGAUUGUUCUUAUCAUUUUGCUUCUUACUGGAAUGCCGAAUUAGGCAGAUCACGUAUGUUGUAGAAUGCGUAUGCUCAUAUGAAAUACGAGAAAAUCAAGUAAAAGAACAAUCUUGUAGUCACCACAAUUACAAUCCAUCUGAACUCAAAGAUAUCCAUCGUUCUAGGUUCAUAGUUUUUAUAGUCACACUUUCUGUGGCAUUUACAUUAGUGGAAAGUGCGAGGUCCAAUGCAAGCUAAAGGAAGUGUGUUUGUAUGCAAGAAUUGAGCUCCUAUGUCGAAAAGUAGAUAUCUUGUGUGCCAUGUAUCUUUUCUGUAUGCUUCUAAUAAAGAUGUAAAUGUUUAAAUUAUGCAUAUGGAUUAGUAAAUGAUGAUGAGCAUUUGCAUUCUUUGGUUCCGUCACAAGUUUAUUUCGUUUAUACAUUUGGGAGAUUUUCUAUACUCCAAGGAUGAUAAUUUGGUAAAGUUCUUAGGACCUUGCACGCUAUACCCUCUUCAAAGGAAAUAUCCAAACUUAGGCUACAGGAAAUAUAAUCUAGAUAAGCUGCAUCACAUGAUAAUACAAUGACAUACAUACAUCAUAGAUGGAUUGGUGAAGACUCGCUGGGUUGGUAACCAGGAUGAGGAGAAGAUAUGCAAGAACAGCAAGCUAGUUCAAAUUUCAACUCAUCAUGGUUAGGUGGUUUUUCAGCAAGAAAGUGCGGUUGGUAAUUUGUGAGACAAAGCUCGCAGGGUCGGAGAAGGAGAGAAGGCAGCUUUGGAAAGCGAAAGGAAUCGAGGUUCAAGAGCGACAGAAGCAGGGAAUUGUGAGGGAAAAAAGUGGAACGGAGGGAAAAGUCGAGAAGAAAGGUCGUGCAGAGCGAUGAGCGACGCGUGGACAAACGCAUAAUGGAGAAGAAUCGGAGGGCAUUUAUGCCAUUGAAGACGACAGAAGCUGAGAAGUGAUCGACUGGUGGAGACGAAGGGCAAAGUCGUCUUUUAACUGUUAAAAAAAAGGAAAAAAAGGAAAAAAAGGCAGAUAACAAAGGAAUUGGAGGGCAUUUUCCCCCGUUUACAGUUAAUGAACAGUAAUUUUGUAUUGAGUUUUAGUAUAUGUAUAAUUUCAUGAGAUGUUAAAUGUUAUUGAUAUUUAGUUGAUAUUGUUAAUUUAAUGUAAAUAUUAUUAUUUAUCAA